GAAAAUUUAGUUAAAUUAUAACAUUAUCUUGUCAAGAUAAAAUUAUUUAUAAAAAAAUAAUUUUCU
rnacentral:tRNA from 1 species